rnacentral:rRNA from 1 species
AUACGGAGGAUCCGAGCGUUAUCCGGAUUUAUUGGGUUUAAAGGGAGCGUAGGCGGCCUUUUAAGUCAGUUGUGAAAGUUUGCGGCUCAACCGUAAAAUUGCAGUUGAUACUGGCUGUCUUGAGUACAGUAGAGGUGGGCGGAAUUCGUGGUGUAGCGGUGAAAUGCUUAGAUAUCACGAAGAACUCCGAUUGCGAAGGCAGCUCACUGGACUGCAACUGACACUGAUGCUCGAAAGUGUGGGUAUCAAACAGGAUUAGAUACCCUGGUAGUCCACACAGUAAACGAUGAAUACUCGCUGUUUGCGAUAUACAGUAAGCGGCCAAGCGAAAGCAUUAAGUAUUCCACCUGGGGAGUACGCCGGCAACGGUGAAACUCAAAUGAAUUGGCGGGG